rnacentral:rRNA from 1 species
AGGAUGGACGCUAGCGACAGGCCUAACACAUGCAAGUCGAGGGGCAGCACAAGGAGCAAUCUGAGGUGGCGACCGGCGCACGGGUGAGUAACACGUAUGCAACCUGCCUGUAAGCGGGGAAUAACCCGUUGAAAGACGGACUAAUACCGCAUAAUACUAAAUUACUGCAUGGUAAUUUAUUUAAACAUUUAUGGCUUACAGAUGGGCAUGCGCAUGAUUAGCUAGUUGGAGAGGUAACGGCUCCCCAAGGCAACGAUCAUUAGGGGUUCUGAGAGGAAGGUCCCCCACACUGGUACUGAGACACGGACCAGACUCCUACGGGAGGCAGCAGUGAGGAAUAUUGGUCAAUGGACGAGAGUCUGAACCAGCCAAGUCGCGUGCAGGAAGAAUGUCCUUAAUGGAUUGUAAACUGCUUUUGCAGGGGAAUAAAGUGCAUCACGUGUGAUGUUUUGUAUGUACUCUGCGAAUAAGGAUCGGCUAACUCCGUGCCAGCCGCAGC